rnacentral:piRNA from 1 species
UGGCAGAAGCAGCAGUCAAAA